UACAAGGCUAUGUAGGAGCAGUUCUUGAGUAACUACAGCCCAUGGGAAGCUCAUACCAGAUCAGUUUGGGAAAGAUGACAUCACAUGGGAGGGACUCUAUGCUGAAGCAGGAGAAGAGAGAAACCACGAAGUAAAGUCAGAGACAAAGCACUAAGGACUGACUGAAGCUUCCAUUCCCUGUUGUUCUGCACAGCUCAGUGCAAGAAGAUAGAAGAAAGUGGAUAGCCUGGGUCAAUAUGUUUAUACUUGGGAACUCUGUUCUACUGCUGAGAACAAGUUAUUCUUUUUGUGGUAAGACCAUCUGGACAUCCAUCAUUGUGUCAGCCCUUGGCUCUACUCAGCUGCUGAGUAUGUUCUUGCCUUCUUCAGUAGAGUGAGCUGACCUAUUCUAACACAGUUUCAAGGAAUCCAUCAGCUACUAUAUUUGUUGUAUUAUAAAUGGUGUUUGCAAAUGUUUGUUGUUUUUUGUUUGUUUGUUCGUUUGUUUUGUUCUAUUUUUUUGUUAUUGAUGUUGUUCUUUUUUAAAUGAAUAUCUGAGUCUUCACUAGCUGAAUAGAUAGACAUUGAUUGCUUUUGCUACAUACAGCAGCAAGUUCUUCCUACUUUUGUGUAUUUUUCCAUAUCUUUUAUUAUCCAUUCAUAAUCUUCUUUAUUGUCACACUGACUUAACAAGAUGGGUUCAUAAUAAAGGCUUCUGCUUACUCAGAAACCUUUCUGAUUAUUUCCGUCUACUGAAGUCAGUCAGUUUUACCGAUGAUUUCAACAAGAGUAGAAUACCUCUGUGCACUAUUUACUAUUUUUUGCUUGCUUUGAAUUAAAAAGAUCUACAGAAGUGAUAAAAGUGUUAAAAUUAUAAAAUUGCUUUCUUACCUGGUACUGCUUUGAGGAAA
ensembl:lncRNA